rnacentral:ncRNA from 2 species
GUUGAGGCACACGACUGGCGCAGGUGGACCACCACCGGGGAGUGUGACCUUCGUGGGCAUCGGCCGCCUGGGUGCCCGCC